UACGUAGGGACCGAGCGUUGUCCGGAUUCAUUGGGCGUAAAGAGCUCGUAGGCGGCUGUUCAAGUCGAACGUGAAAACUCGGAGCUCAACUCCGAGCCUGCGUUCGAUACUGGACGGCUAGAGUCUGGUAGGGGGAUCUGGAAUUCCUGGUGUAGCGGUGGAAUGCGCAGAUAUCAGGAGGAACACCGGUGGCGAAGGCGGGAUCCUGGGCCAGUACUGACGCUGAGGAGCGAAAGCAUGGGGAGCAAACAGG
rnacentral:rRNA from 1 species